AUAUAAGCGAUUUGAAAAAUCAAUUUCAGAUUAUGAUGAGUUUCAUGAUGGAGAAAUUUGGAUCAAAUAUGCCUCCAUCAACAACUAAAUGAUUUUAGGAAGACAUUUGGGCAAGAAGAUGGGAAUAAAAACUCAAGGACAAUGGUCAAGAAGAGGGAACA